rnacentral:rRNA from 1 species
CACGGGGGAGCAAGCGUUGUUCGGAAUCACUGGGCGUAAAGGGCGUGUAGGCGGUCAGGUAAGUGAGACGUGAAAUGCCUCGGCUCACCCGAGGAGCGGCGUCUCAUACUGCUUGGCUUGAGUACGGGAGAGGAUGUGGGAAUUCCUGGUGUAGCGGUGAAAUGCGUAGAUAUCAGGAGGAACACCGGUGGCGAAGGCGCACAUCUGGCCCGAUACUGACGCUGAGGCGCGAAAGCUAGGGGAGCAAACGGG